rnacentral:lncRNA from 1 species
UCAUGUAUACGUAAUGUAUCUAGCUUGUAUGAACUUGCCAAUAAGUUUAUAAUGCUCCAAAUAUCGUCUUUCUGUCAGACAUUUUACUGUAUAAGAUCACAGAGUCGUGAGUUUACAAAAGUAAAAUAAAAUUCAGAGUUGUGAACCUACGUUAAAGACAGGUUCAUUUGUGGAUUGCAAGUUCUUCACAGCCAAAACUCCAAAAGCAUGGUAUUGUUUAUUUCUUUCUUCUGCACACCAAAAAUGUUGUUUCAUUUACAAUAUACCAUUGUCAUAGUAGUGACUCUGUUUUGGCCUUCAUUCCGUUAUAUAUACCAGCUCUGAGCAUCAAAUUCAAUAGGUCAUGCUAUAAAUAAAAGUUACAGAUAAUACAUAAAAUUUGGUUUACCGGGCUGCAAUUUCAAAAUUCGUUUUUAUGAAAUAGGUGCAGUCCGGGUAUUUUGAAUUGUGGAGAUAUUUUCCUUUUUCAACUAAAUUGACUGCUAACCAAUUCAAUGCAUGCCUACAUAUUUGACCAAUCUUGCCUUUAUUUAAAUCUGGAAAACUGUUUCCAAAAUUUCGGAGUCCACGAGAUUAGAACUCAAGAAAAGAGAAUCACGUGAAAGAGGGUAUCAAGGGGAUAUACCAGGAAUCUCAUAAAUUGUACUUCCCGCAUUAUGAGAUGGUAUUAGCUCCGUCCAAAAUUACUUUUUUUUCUAUUUUUUAAAUUCAAAUUGACCAAUUUUAAAUAUUAAAAAAAUAUUAAUAUAUUAUUUUAAAAAAUAGACUAGAUGUAUUCUCUAAAUGAUUAUUUUUUUGGUUCUUCAAAUAUAUAAUACAUAUAAAUCACAGUUCAAAUAUAAUCAAUAUUAUUGGUCCAAAGUCACAAGGGACAAGUGUUUUGAGAUGAGGGAGUAUAUUUUUAUUUUUUAUAAUGUGUUUGUGUAUGUAAUUAUUUUCAAAAACUCAUGCAAAAUAAUGUAUAUAGCAUAUUAUGACAAAAUUUCUUUAGUAAAAAGAUAUAAGGGACAUGUUAUAAAUAGAAAAUUUUUAUUAUAUUGCACUCCUUCCGUCCCAACUCCUUUGUCUUGUUUAACUUUUUGUCGUCAAAUUAACUCAAUUUUGAUUGAAAUUUACGUAUAUUAAAUAAUAAAAAUGUGUAAAAAGUAUAUUACUAAAAUCUGCAUUCAUUCUAUUUUAGGACGUAUUUUUCAAUUUUUUGAGAUCAUGUCGGAAUAAUUACUCAUUGCCGGUCAAAGUCUGAUCAGUUUGACAACAAAACGUCAAAUAAGAUAAAAGAAGUGGGAUGGAAUGAGUAAGGGUUGGAUAAUUUAAUGUUAAGAUUUUAAAAAAAUGAUGCUAGACCGUGUUGCGUUUUUAUGUGAAAAACCGUACAAAAUGUAAGACGAUUGAGUAAAACACUAUAUGACAUUUUGGUGGGGAUGAGCGUAGUUCAGUUUGGUUCGGUUUUGACCGAAAACCAAACCGUAACCAUAUUUAUUCGGUUUCUAAAAUCAAAAACCAAAACCAAACCAAACACCGUUGGUUCGGUUUCGGUUUUUGAUUUUGGUUUCGGUUUAUAAUGGUGCGGUUUCGGUUUUAAAACCAAAUUAAAUUAAAUUACAUAUCCCCAUAAAUUUUUAAUCAUAAAUAUGCUUGAACUAAAGUUUUCAAUUUAAAAUGUAUGAUACUACUGCAGCUUCAGCAAUAGCAAAUUACCUGUUACCAGGCUCUUCAACAACAUACUUGGCCUGUUACCCGGCUCUUCAACAACAUACUUGGAUGGUCUCUCAACACUAGUAACAGUAGCAGAGCCCACUUGUAUGAACCAUUGAACCUAUUCUGACUAAAUAGCAAUUUUACACAGAAAAAUUGAUAAAAAGGUAAAACAAAAGAAAUCAAUAACAUGUUUGCAGAGAAAUGAUUUGGCUUGGGUACAAAUAUCAUCCACACUUAUAAGAAUUCACAGAUGCACCAAGAAUUUGCUUUUUCAUGCUCUUUCAUGGCUUUGCUUGCAUUAAGGACAUUCUGCAAUGUUUUAGGAGCAACACCAGAACUAAACCAAGUUUAAAUACAACAGAUUUUAAAUGAUAUAUAUAAUAUAUUUAUAUAAAUUUAUAUAAUUAAUUUAAUUUGGUUCGGUUCGGUUUGUAUUCUGUUUCCAAAAAAUUAAAACCAAACCGCAACCAUAUUAUUCGGUUCGGUUUUUAUUCGGUUUGGUCUUUAAUUGGUUCGGNCUUGUAGUUUGCUAUUUUGUUUAAAAAUAAUUAUCUGAUAUAAUGUUGGACCUUCUCUUGUAAAUCUUAGUAACUGGACCUCUGCUAUUAUCUUGCAGCUUUAAGAACAAUAGGCUUAACGGACCUGAGCUAAAAGGGCUAGUACCCUAUGACUUUGGAUGCUAAAACUUGUGCCAAGGUUUAAAUGUCUGCUUGGAUUGCCACAAUGUAAUAAUAGUUAUCAUGUAUACGUAAUGUAUCUAGCUUGUAUGAACUUGCCAAUAAGUUUAUAAUGCUCCAAAUAUCGUCUUUCUGUCAGACAUUUUACUGUAUAAGAUCACAGAGUCGUGAGUUUACAAAAGUAAAAUAAAAUUCAGAGUUGUGAACCUACGUUAAAGACAGGUUCAUUUGUGGAUUGCAAGUUCUUCACAGCCAAAACUCCAAAAGCAUGGUAUUGUUUAUUUCUUUCUUCUGCACACCAAAAAUGUUGUUUCAUUUACAAUAUACCAUUGUCAUAGUAGUGACUCUGUUUUGGCCUUCAUUCCGUUAUAUAUACCAGCUCUGAG